rnacentral:snRNA from 1 species
AUCGCUUCUCGGCCUUUUGGCUAAGAUCAAGUGUAGUAUCUGUUCUUAUCAGUUUAAUAUCUAAAGAGCUUCCGGUGGCAAGGCAAGGACGGUUAGAGGGGCAGAAAUCCGCU